rnacentral:tRNA from 1 species
GGUGGCGUAGCGCAACGGUAGCGUAGUGGUCUGUCGCACCAAAGGUUGCGGGUUCGAAUCCCGUCGUCACCG